CACAAUUUGCAGUAAUUUGUUGUACGGGAGUUUUAUUGCAGUGUCGGCGCGUUGGCGAUGUUUUUGCUGAUCAUGAUGUCUGUGGUGAUUUGAAAUUACGGUUGACAUUUUCCACCAAUUGGUGUGAAGAUCAGAAUGUGUUGGAGUAAUAUCAAUUUCUUGAUUUUACGUGUAUAGCUCGAUUGGAUACCAUAUUGGCCUGAGAAAGGGUACAAAAUGUUACAGCUAAAGACAGAAAUCAUGGAAGAAUUGUUCAUUUGACAGAUAAAAUCGGAUGCGGCGUCCCAAGGUCUAUUGAGGAUAGAGGUUGAAGCAUUCAGUGUAAAUUGACAAACAGCUGUGGGAAAAAUUUGACAUUUCGGUAAGAAGUUGUUUACCUUCAUACGACGGCGGUGGUUUUAGAAAAAAAACGAGUUACACGCGUACCGAGUUUUUAAAAACGACCUAUAUUCCAUCCAAAUAUUAAAAUAAUCGAAGUUUUGGUGCAGUUUAACUCGUUUAAAGUGUACAACAUGACAACAACUUGCGCUGCAUCUUUUUGUAGCAAUAGCCGGUAUCUGGCAAAAAAGCACAACAUCGACAUCAUUUUCCAUAAAUUUCCAACUGAGCCAGUUCUUUUGCGCAAAUGGAUAUUAUUUUGCAAACAAGAAGACAAAUGGACUCCUUCAAAAAACCAUAUUUUGUGCUCCUCACAUUUCGUGAAGGACGAUUACCAGCUCAUCAACUCACCGUCCAAGGAAAACAAGAAGACGUUUAAGAAGCUGAAACCAGUUGAUGCUGGCCGGAAAUCAGAAGGCAGCGAUCACAACGCACGAAUCACUCGGCUGACACUAUCAAUGCUUCAAAGCGGCCAAGGCUGCUUUCGAUAGUGUUCCACAUCAGUGGCGGAUCUAACGGUAGGCGGACUAGGCGGUCGCCUGGGGCCCCGUAGUUCUCUAGUCUAGUCUAGUCGCCUAGAGCCCCCGAUAUCCUUAAUCCGUCACUGUUCCACAUUCCUUACUACUCGUCAAACUCCGAACUCUCAGACUGCCGGAACAGCUGUUGGCCUGGACACUACACUUUGCACCGUACCAUCGCUUCGUUGGGUAUGUCACAAGGAACCAACGUUGAUCGACGUUUCAUUGUACUCUUUGUAUGGCGUAUUCGGGGUUUUUGCUCCAGGAAACCACUUUCUUUAUGCUGACGAUACAAAUAUAUUCAUCCCCAUUCGCGGGCCCCAAAUAAAAUCCUUCCUCAAGCCGACUAGCUGCAUCUUCAGGGCACGUUGUGCACGUUCUUGUCCAGGUGCUCCACAAAACCCUGGAAUUAAGUAUUGAGUGAUCACCAUCACAAACAUUCAGAAAACACAAUGAAAAUAAGCAAUCGCUAGCGAUUGGCUGGGAGUUGUGUGUUGUUUGCACGCCGCGCUUCAUAGACUAUCACCGUAUUCCAUUGUUGAGCAUGUUUAGACGACUGAGAGUUGGUGCUUGCAAUCUAUAAGCUAGUUUAAAAGUGUUGUUCAGCUACCGU